GAGUUUGAUCCUGGCUCAGGACGAACGCUGGCGGCGCGCCUAACACAUGCAAGUCGAACGAGCGAGAGAGAGCUUGCUUUCUCGAGCGAGUGGCGAACGGGUGAGUAACGCGUGAGUAACCUGCCCUGGAGUGGGGGACAACAGUUGGAAACGACUGCUAAUACCGCAUAAGCCCACGGCUCGGCAUCGAGCAGAGGGAAAAGGAGCAAUCCGCUUUGAGAUGGCCUCGCGUCCGAUUAGCUAGUUGGUGAGGUAAUGGCCCACCAAGGCGACGAUCCAUAGCCGACCUGAGAGGGUGACCGGCCACAUUGGGACUGAGACACGGCCCAAACUCCUACGGGAGGCAGCAGUGGGGAAUAUUGCACAAUGGGCGAAAGCCUGAUGCAGCGACGCCGCGUGAGCGAAGAAGUAUUUCGGUAUGUAAAGCUCUAUCAGCAGGGAAGAUAGUGACGGUACCUGACUAAGAAGCCCCGGCUAACUACGUGCCAGCCGCCGCGGUAAUUC
rnacentral:rRNA from 1 species